GAAUAACUUAAUGGCGUCGAACCCUGAAGUUCCAUGUUAGGGGCCCUCUGUUGGCAAAUCUAUAUUUUUUCUGCUUCAGGUUGCACGAAAACGCACGUGUGUAAUCGCAACGACAAUGCAAGGUCAGCCAUGAGCGUCAAAGAAGUUAAACGUUUCAGCGCUAAAAGCGUAUCGGACUUCAACAGCAGUAAGUGGUACCGAGUAUGCUGACAGGAUGCUGCUCGCAAAGGUGGUUGCUUCGGUGCGCAUACCCUGCCGAUGUUAGGCACUACCUAGAGAAGCGGUGCAGUGGCAUAUAUUCGACAAGGAAGCACAGCAUGCCUAGCUGGAAAGCUUGUUGCGGGGAAGAUCGCCGAUUUGAUGAAGUUAUCCUGUAAUAAUGAUAAAUAUAGCACAUGCC